UACGGGGGGGGCAAGCGUUGUUCGGAAUUAUUGGGCGUAAAGAGCUCGUAGGCGGUCUGUUGCGUCGGCUGUGAAAACCCGGGGCCCAACUCCGGGCCUGCAGCCGAUACGGGCAGACUAGAGUUCGGCAGGGGAGACUGGAAUUCCUGGUGUAGCGGUGAAAUGCGCAGAUAUCGGGAGGAACACCAAUUGCGAAGGCAGCUCGCUGGGACGUUACUGACGCUGAGACGCGAAAGCGUGGGGAGCAAACAGG
rnacentral:rRNA from 1 species